AGAGUUUGAUCAUGGCUCAGGAUGAACGCUAGCUACAGGCUUAACACAUGCAAGUCGAGGGGAAACGACAUCGAAAGCUUGCUUUUGAUGGGCGUCGACCGGCGCACGGGUGAGUAACGCGUAUCCAACCUGCCCACCACUUGGGGAUAACCUUGCGAAAGUAAGACUAAUACCCAAUGACGUCUCUAGAAGACAUCUGAAAGAGAUUAAAGAUUUAUCGGUGAUGGAUGGGGAUGCGUCUGAUUAGCUUGGUUGGCGGGGUAACGCCCACAAGGCGACGAUCGAGUAGGGGUUCUGAGAGGAACGGUCCCCCANAUUGGAACUGAGACACGGUCCAAACUCCGUACGGGAGCA
rnacentral:rRNA from 1 species